rnacentral:rRNA from 1 species
AACGUACGCUGGCGGCACGCCUAACACAUGCAAGUCGAACGAAGUAGCAAUACUUAGUGGCAGACGGGUGAGUAACAUGUAGGUAUCUGCCCUUUGGCCUGGAAUAACACGAGGAAACUUGUGCUAAUACCGGAUAAGUCUUUACGGAGAAAGCUUUAUGCACCAUUGGAUGAGCCUGCACUUGAUUAGUUUGUUGGUGGGGUAAUGGCCUACCAAGACUGUGAUCAAUAGCUGAUUUGAGAGGAUGAUCAGCCACAUUGGGACUGAGACACGGCCCAAACUCCUACGGGAGGCAGCAGUGGGGAAUCUUGCACAAUGGAGGAAACUCUGAUGCAGCGAUGCCGCGUGAGUGAAGAAGGCCCUUGGGUUGUAAAGCUCUUUCGUCGGGGAAGAAAAUGACUGUACCCGAAUAAGAAGGUCCGGCUAACUUCGUGCCAGCAGCCGCGGUAAUACGAAGGGACCUAGCGUAGUUCGGAAUUACUGGGCUUAAAGAGUUCGUAGGUGGUUGAAAAAGUUAGUGGUGAAAUCCCAGAGCUUAACUCUGGAACUGCCAUUAAAACUUUUCAGCUAGAGUAUGAUAGAGGAAAGCAGAAUUUCUAGUGUAGAGGUGAAAUUCGUAGAUAUUAGAAAGAAUACCAAUUGCGAAGGCAGCUUUCUGGAUCAUUACUGACACUGAGGAACGAAAGCAUGGGUAGCGAAGAGGAUUAGAUACCCUCGUAGUCCAUGCCGUAAACGAUGUGUGUUAGACGUUGGAAAUUUAUUUUCAGUGUCGCAGGGAAACCGAUAAACACACCGCCUGGGGAGUACGACCGCAAGGUUAAAACUCAAAUGAAUUGACGGGGACCCGCACAAGUAGUGGAGCAUGUGGUUUAAUUCGAAGAUACGCGCAGAACCUUACCAACACUUGACAUGUUCGUCGCGACUCUAAGAGAUUAGAGUUUUCGGUUCGGCCGGACGAAACACAGGUGCUGCAUGGCUGUCGUCAGCUCGUGUCGUGAGAUGUUGGGUUAAGUCCCGCAACGAGCGCAACCCUCACUUUUAGUUGCCAUCAUUAAGUUGGGCACUCUGAAAGAACUGCCAGUGAUAAGCUGGAGGAAGGUGGGGAUGACGUCAAGUCCUCAUGGCCCUUACGUGUUGGGCUACACACGUGCUACAAUGGUAUCUACAACAGGAAGCAAGACUGCGAAGUUAAGCAAAUCCCUAAAAGAUACCUCAGUUCGGAUUGCACUCUGCAACUCGAGUGCUUGAAGCUGGAAUUACUAGUAAUCGUGGAUCAGCGUGCCACGGUAAAUGCGUUCCCGGGUCU